AAAAUGAUCAGGCAGGUGGUUUUUCCCAGGGUGAGGCUCCUCCUUUGCACUCCGGGUGUGCUGACACCUGCGAUUUCCCCAAAUGAGGGAAACUCGACUACAUAAUUUGUGUUAGUGAGGGACUGCGUUCGCGCUCUCCCCCU
ensembl:snRNA U1 U1 spliceosomal RNA